UGGCCAAGCAAAAAGGGCACAGGGUGGAUGCCUUGGCACUAAGAGCCGAAGAAAGACGUGAUAAGCUGCGAAAAGCUGCGGGGAGGAGCACAUGUCCGUUGAUCCGCAGAUGUCUGAAUGGGGAGACCCACACAGGGAAGACCUGUGUAUCCAUGCGCGAAUCCAUAACGCAUGGAAGGGAACCCGGUGAACUGAAACAUCUAAGUAGCCGGAGGAAGAGAAAGAAACAUCGAUUCCGGGAGUAGCGGCGAGCGAAACCGGAGGAGCCCAAACCGUGGCGCGUGCGCUGCGGGGUAUGGACCGCAAACGUGACUGAAAAAGGCAGGAGAACGGCUUUGGGAAAGCCGGCCAAAGAGGGUGAAAGUCCCGUAUCCGAAGCCGGAAGCGGCACAGCGGGAUCCGGAGUACGCCGGGACACGAGAAAUCCUGGUGGAAGAAGCGGGGACCACCCCGUAAGGCUAAAUACUUCUUAGUGACCGAUAGAGCAUAGUACUGUGAAGGAAAGGUGAAAAGAACCCCGGGAGGGGAGUGAAAGAGAACCUGAAACCCUGUGUUUACAAACUGUGGAAGCGUUACGGCGCAACCGCGUACUUUUUGUAGAACGGUCCGGCGAGCUGCGGGUGCCGGCAAGGUUAAGCGCGGGAAGCGUGGAGCCGGAGGGAGACCGAGUCUGAACAGGGCGUUCAGUCGGCAUCCGCAGGCCCGAAACCGGGUGAUCUAUCCAUGUCCAGGCUGAAGACGCCGUAAAAGGCGCUGGAGGGCCGGACCCACGUCCGUUGAAAAGGGCGGGGAUGAGGUGUGGAUAGGGGAGAAAUUCCAAUCGAACCCGGAGAUAGCUGGUUCUCCCCGAAAUAGCUUUAGGGUUAGCCUCGUUUGAGUCUCGCGGAGGUAGAGCACUGAAUUUCCGAGGGGGCGUCAAAGCCUGCCAGAGAAUAUCAAACUCCGAAUGCCGCAAAGAUGAUAAACGGGAGUCAGGCUGCAUGAGAUAAGUCGGACAGCCAAAAGGGAAACAGUCCAGACCGCCGGCUAAGGCCCCAGAGUGCGUGUUAAGUGGAAAAGGAUGUGGGGAUUCAAAGACAGCCAGGACGUUGGCCCAGAAGCAGCCACACGUUCAAAGAGUGCGUAACAGCUCACUGGCCGAGAGUCCCUGCGCCGAAAAUGUCCGGGGCUAAAACACGCCGCCGAAGCCGCGGGAUGCAGCAAUGCAUCGGUAGGGGAGCAUUCUUAAAACCGAAGAAGCCGUUUUGAAAGAGGCGGUGGAGGGAUAAGAAGGGAGAAUGCCGGAAUGAGUAGCGAGACGGAGGUGUGAAUCCUCCGGGCCGAAUAUCCAAGGUUUCCAGGGUAAAGCUGAUCUUCCCUGGGAAAGUCGGGGCCUAAGGAGAGGCCGGAAGGCGCAUCCGAUGGACAGCAGGUGAAUAUUCCUGCACCCCCAUAGAGCAGAACUGCGGGGACGCAGUGGCAAAGCAUGGGCCGGGAAUGGAAAAACCGGUGCUGCAGGUAGGCCUGGCAGGGGAGAAAUACCUCUGUGGGAGGGCAGGCCUGCAGCGGAGCGAAAAUGAAGUAGCAAAGCAUGCGAAGCUGCUGCCGAGAAAAGCCGCUAUUGCCUAUAUGGGGCCCGUACCGCAAACCGACACAGGUGGAUGAGGAGAGGAUCCUAAGGCCGACGGGAGAAGCAUUGUCAAGGAACUCGGCAAAAUAGCCCCGUAACUUCGGGAGAAGGGGCGCCUGCGCAAGCAGGCCGCAGUGAACAGGCCCAGGCAACUGUUUAGCAAAAACACAGGUCUAUGCGAAACCGGAAGGUGAAGUAUAUGGGCUGACGCCUGCCCGGUGCUGGAAGGUUAAGAGGAGAGGUCAGCGCAAGCGAAGCUUUGAAUCCAAGCCCCAGUAAACGGCGGCCGUAACUAUAACGGUCCUAAGGUAGCGAAAUUCCUUGUCGGGUAAGUUCCGACCCGCACGAAAGGCGUAAUGAUCUGGGCACUGUCUCGACAAUGCACCCGGUGAAAUUGAAGUGCCAGUGAAGAUGCUGGCUACCCGCGCCAGGACGGAAAGACCCCAUGGAGCUUUACUCCAGUCUGGCACUGGGGCACGGCGUUGCACGUACAGGAUAGGUGGGAGGCGAAGAAUUAAGGGCGCCAGCCCUUAAGGAGCCGACGGUGGGAUACCACCCCUGCAGCGCUGGGUCUCUAACCGACCGCCGAUACCGGCGGCGGGACAAUGCCAGGCGGGGAGUUUGACUGGGGCGGUCGCCUCCGAAAGGGUAUCGGAGGCGCUCAAAGGUUCCCUCAUGAUGGACGGAAACCAUCAGGAGAGCGCAAAGGCAGAAGGGAGCCUGACUGUGACACCGACGGGUGGAGCAGGUACGAAAGUAGGACUUAGUGAUCCGGUGGUAGAAAGUGGGAUUGCCAUCGCUCAACGGAUAAAAGCUACCCUGGGGAUAACAGGCUUAUCACUCCCAAGAGUUCACAUCGACGGAGUGGUUUGGCACCUCGAUGUCGGCUCAUCGCAUCCUGGGGCUGUAGCAGGUCCCAAGGGUUGGGCUGUUCGCCCAUUAAAGCGGUACGCGAGCUGGGUUCAGAACGUCGUGAGACAGUUCGGUCCCUAUCCGGCGCGGGCGGAGGAUGUCUGAGGGGGUCUGGCCUUAGUACGAGAGGACCGGGUUGGACGGGCCGCUGGUGCACCUGUUGGAGACCAUCUCCAUGGCAGGGUAGCCAAGCCCGGAAGGGAUAAGCGCUGAAGGCAUCUAAGCGCGAAGCCCGCCCCAAGAUGAGACAUCCCCCAAAAGGAUAAGACCCCUGGAAGAACACCAGGUAGAUAGGACAGAAGUGGAAGUGUGGCAACACAUGGAGCGGACUGUUACUAAUCGGUCGAAGGCUUGACCAAA
rfam:Eubacterium plexicaudatum ASF492 genomic scaffold acLZb-supercont1.2, whole genome shotgun sequence.